AGGUCAGUAGCUCAAUUGGUAGAGCAACGGUCUCCAAAACCGUAGGUCGUGGGUUCGAUUCCUACCUGGCCUG
rnacentral:tRNA from 1 species